rnacentral:tRNA from 19 species
GGGCGGUUAGCUCAGCGGUAGAGCAUUGCCUUCACACGGCAAGGGUCGCAGGUUCGAACCCUGCAUCGCCCACCA